CUUGUACACACCGCCCGUCACACCAUGGGAGCUGGCCAUGCCCGAAGUCGGAGCACCCGCCGAAGGCAGGGCUGGUGACUGGGGUGAAGUCGUAACAAGGUAGCCGUACCGGAAGGUGCGGCUGGAUCACCUCCUUU
rnacentral:rRNA from 1 species